GCGUAGAGCAAACAGAACAAGAAGAGAGACAGAAGACGGCCUGACAGAUGUGAGAUGGGUAAUACAGAUGGAAGACAGAUGAUAAAGAACACAGGCUGGAUGGACAACAAAUGACAAUAGAGAGCCUUUAAGUGAGUGCUUGCUAUAUGCCACAAGACUGGAGGAGCAUCAAAUGGACAGAGACGCAUAGAGGAGGAGUGGAGAAAUGAGAUGAAGAUAUGGCAGCGGGAUUCAGAGCUGGGAGGAUGCUAGAGGAAGAGAAGAGGCCACAACAUGUCACUGCUUAGACGCAAAGCUCAGUAGGGGACGUGGCAGGAGGCUAAGAGUUAUCACUCAAGAUGGAAGACUGAUGUGACCAAGGAGCCCAGACCAUGGUACCACUCACACUCAGGAUGGGUCUUCCUACCUCAGUUAAACCUCCUUGGAAAAGACUUCAGGCAUGCUCAGAUGAGUGUGCCCAAAGUUAUCUGGAACCCCACCAAGUUAUCUGCCAACAUUAACCAUCUCCGGUGUUAUAGGGUAGGUGUGCUAUGUCAGGAGAGACCCAGUACUGGAAACAAACCAAGAUCUUAUCCUGGACAUGUUACACGCAAGGGGAUGACAGGCUAACACAAGAUGAAAUUAAUGUAAGUUUUAAACCCAUAACAAGGUAGAGAAGCCAAGGUGAGAACUGGGAACCAGCUGCAAUGGACGCCACACCAGUACACGGGGAUCAACACCCUCCACGGUGUGCUGUGGCAGAGCUUAGGAGGCAGAGACAGAAGGAUCCAGAGUACAAGAUUAUUCUGGGCUGCACAGCAAGAAUGAAGCUUGAACUACACAGGAAAAUUUUCUCUCCAAAAUAAAGAAAAUAGCAAGCUAUCUUCUCCACAGAGUCAUUCUGAAAGCCUCCGCUUCCAUCUUUAUUUAUUUAACUAAACUAUAAGAAAAUGGCCCCCAAAAGAACAAUUUGCCUCAAAAUGCUUUAAUGAGGUGUUUUGUAACCAGCUAGAGUCCUGACAAGCUCCUAUACUUAUGAUGAAGACCAACAGACUAAUUUCCUCCUUCAUCAUCGUCCAAAUUCUGUUAGAUUAUGCUCUUCAAGAAAGUGCUCAUUAGUGACUCAUUCUAAUUAAAUCACAGUGCUUCAGAGUUCUACAUCUGAAGGAGAUCUUUGAGGAUCAUCC
rnacentral:lncRNA from 1 species